rnacentral:rRNA from 1 species
GUGCCAGCAGCCGCGGUAAUACGAAAGGGGCAAGCGUUGUUCGGAUUUACUGGGCGUAAAGGGCACGCAGGCGGUCUUGCCAGUCAGGGGUGAAAGCCCGGGGCUCAACCCCGGAACUGCCUCUGAUACUGCAGGACUAGAGACUAGGAGAGGGUGGUGGAAUUCCCAGUGUAGAGGUGAAAUUCGUAGAUAUUGGGAGGAACACCAGAGGCGAAGGCGGCCACCUGGACUAGAUCUGACGCUCAGGUGCGAAAGCGUGGGGAGCAAACAGGAUUAGAUACCCUGGUAGUCCACGCCGUAAACGAUGAGUGCUAGUUGUCGGGAUUUCGAUUUCGGUGACGCAGCUAACGCAUUAAGCACUCCGCCUGGGGAGUACGGUCGCAAGAUUAAAACUCAAAGGAAUUGACGG